rnacentral:rRNA from 1 species
UACGUAGGGGGCAAGCGUUGUCCGGAUUUAUUGGGCGUAAAGAGCGUGUAGGCGGUUUGGUAGGUCCGCUGUGAAAACUCGAGGCUCAACCUCGAGACGCCGGUGGAAACCAUCAGACUAGAGUCCGGAAGAGGAGAGUGGAAUUCCUGGUGUAGCGGUGAAAUGCGCAGAUAUCAGGAAGAACACCCGUGGCUAAGGCGGCUCUCUAGUACGGUACUGACGCUGAGACGCGAAAGCGUGGGGAGUGAACAGG